GGUGAGGAAUACAUGGGUAACCUACCCUAGAGUGGGGAAUAACUAGCCGAAAGGUUAGCUAAUACCGCGUACGCUUCUUGGACUUCGGUUCAGGGAGGAAAGCGCUACCGAGGGUAGCGCGCUCUUGGAUGGGCUCAUGUCCUAUCAGCUUGUUGGUGAGGUAACGGCUCACCAUGGCUUCGACGGGUAGCUGGUCUGAGAGGACGAUCAGCCACACUGGCACUGCGACACGGGCCAGACUCCUACGGGAGGCAGCAGUAAGGAAUAUUGCGCAAUGGGCGAAAGCCUGACGCAGCGACGCCGCGUGGAGGAUGAAGGUCUUCGGAUUGUAAACCCCUUUCGGGAGGGAAGAUGGAAUGGGGUAACCCAUUCGGACGGUACCUCCAGAAGCAGCCACGGCUAACUUCGUGCCAGCAGCCGCGGUAAUACGAAGGUGGCAAGCGUUAUUCGGAUUUACUGGGCGUACAGGGAGCGUAGGCGGUUCGGUAAGCCCUCUGUGAAAUCUCCAGGCUUAACCUGGAAAAGUCGGGGGGGACUGCUGGGCUAGAGGACGGGAGAGGAGCGCGGAAUUCCCGGUGUAGCGGUGAAAUGCGUAGAGAUCGGGAGGAAGGCCGGUGGCGAAGGCGGCGCUCUGGAACGUAUCUGACGCUGAGGCUCGAAAGCGUGGGGAGCAAACAGGAUUAGAUACCCUGGUAGUCCACGCCUUAAACUAUGAAUACUAAGUGUCGGCGGUUUACCGCCGGUGCCGCAGCU
rnacentral:rRNA from 1 species